GAAUUGCCAUGGUCAUCGUAUCUCUUCACAGCAAUGGGAACCCUGAAUCAACGCUCACCUGGGCCAUCUGUGAUGAUCUGAAAUGGUGGAAGUUUGGCUCAGAGAACAACUGUCUGAAGCAGUCAGCCUCCCAAGUGCUGGGAUUACAGACAUGUGCCACCUUCCCUGUUUUACGCAGAGCCCGUGGAGGAAACCCAGGGUUUCAGGCAUGCUAGACUAGCGGUCUACCAACCAAAUUACAAGUCCAGCAUUUGUUUCUGCGCAGGCUACCCUGGGUUAUAUUAUGUUAUGUAGCCCAGGCUAGCUUCAAAUUUAAGAUCCUCCUGCCUUAGGCUCUUGAGUGCUGGGAGUACAGAUGCCACAUAGUGUGCCAGUAUACUUUGCACAUCUCCUCUCUCUGUCCUCUCCUCUCACAGAGCCCAUUUGACUAACAGAGGAAGCUGCCAAGCCCUGGAAAUCUAGUGGAUUUCCUGUAGGGAGAGGGUGGAGUGGGUCAGGGCUAUGUCCUCAGAACUCAGCAUCUAGCUGUGGGGCGAGACUGCAGGAAGAUGACAAACUGCUGCUUCCUGAAGAGAGCCACGCUAUCUUGCCAGCAUCACUUAUGUAGACAUGUUAAAUAUCAGCAUGAAAAAUGAACGAAGAAAUGAAAAUGUGCACUUCCCUCUAAA